rnacentral:rRNA from 1 species
AGUGAACGCUGGCGGUAGGCCUAACACAUGCAAGUCGAACGGCAGCACAGUAAGAGCUUGCUCUUACGGGUGGCGAGUGGCGGACGGGUGAGGAAUACAUCGGAAUCUACUUUUUCGUGGGGGACAACGUAGGGAAACUUACGCUAAUACCGCAUACGACCUACGGGUGAAAGCAGGGGAUCUUCGGACCUUGCGCGAUUGAAUGAGCCGAUGUCGGAUUAGCUAGUUGGCGGGGUAAAGGCCCACCAAGGCGACGAUCCGUAGCUGGUCUGAGAGGAUGAUCAGCCACACUGGAACUGAGACACGGUCCAGACUCCUACGGGAGGCAGCAGUGGGGAAUAUUGGACAAAGGGCGCAAGCCUGAUCCAGCCAUACCGCGUGGGUGAAGAAGGCCUUCGGGUUGUAAAGCCCUUUUGCUGGGAAAGAAAAGCAGCAGGUUAAUACCCCGCUGUUCUGACGGUACCCAAAGAAUAAGCACCGGCUAACUUCGUG